ensembl:snRNA U6 U6 spliceosomal RNA
AGGCUCCCUUUGGUAGCACAUAUACUAAAAUUGGAAUGAUACAGAAAAGAUCAGCAAGACCCCUGGGCAAGGAUGACAUGCAAACUUGUGAAGUGUUUCACAUUUAC